rnacentral:rRNA from 1 species
AGGGUUUGAUCAUGGCUCAGGACGAACGCUGGCGGCAUGCCUAACACAUGCAAGUCGAACGAGAAAGUUCCUUCGGGAGCAAUUAAAGUGGCGCACGGGUGAGUAACGCGUAGACAAUCUGCCCUUCAGUCUGGGACAACUUUUCGAAAGGAGAGCUAAUACCGGAUAACAAUGCAUGACACAAGUUGUAUAUUUGAAAGCUUUAUGUGCUGAAGGAGGGGUCUGCGUCCCAUUAGCUAGUUGGUAAGGUAAAGGCUUACCAAGGCAACGAUGGGUAGCGGGUUUGAGAGGACGAUCCGCCACACUGGAACUGAGACACGGUCCAGACUCCUACGGGAGGCAGCAGUGGGGAAUAUUGCACAAUGGAGGAAACUCUGAUGCAGCAAUGUCGCGUGAGUGAAGAAGGCCCUUGGGUCGUAAAGCUCUUUUAUGGGGGAAGAUGAUGACGGUACCCCAAGAAUAAGCACCGGCUAACUAUGUGCCAGCAGCCGCGGUAAUACAUAGGGUGCGAGCGUUGUUCGGAAUUACUGGGCGUAAAGGGCGCGCAGGCGGAAUAGUAAGUCGGAGGUGAAAGCCCGGGGCUCAACCCCGGAGGGUCUUUCGAAACUACUAAUCUAGAGAGGGUCAGGGGCCGGCAGAAUUCCUGGUGUAGAGGUGAAAUUCGUAGAUAUCAGGAGGAAUACCGGUGG